GGGGCCGUGGCGGAAUUGGUAGACGCAACGGACUUAAAAUCCGUUGCAAGGUGACUUGCGUGAGGGUUCAAGUCCCUCCAGCCCCA
rnacentral:tRNA from 1 species